rnacentral:rRNA from 1 species
ACUCGGAGGGACUGCCGGCGACAAGCCGGAGGAAGGUGGGGAUGACGUCAAGUCAUCAUGGCCCUUAUGUCCAGGGCGACACACGUGCUACAAUGGCCGGCACAGCGGGAAGCGGAGGGGCGACCCUGAGCGGAUCCCUUGAAAGCCGGUCCCAGUUCGGAUUGCAGUCUGCAACUCGACUGCAUGAAGUUGGAAUCGCUAGUAAUCGCGGAUCAGCCAAGCCGCGGUGAAUACGUUCCCGGGCCUU